GAAACAGAGAAUGUGGGGGUUUGUGGGGGAAGCUUCCAGCAUGGGGGAAGGGCCACUGCACCUGUCUCUGCCCCUGCCUGGGCCCCCCCUGGGUCUUGGGGGGGAAGAAAAAUCUCACUGCUCCUUCUCUUGGCUCCAUUUGAGUGCACAGGAUGGGGAGAGGUGUUUGGAUUACGGGCACCGUGACCAACUUGCCUUCAGGAGCAGGGGUCUGGCUGGAGGAGGCAGCUCACUAUGGACACGACCUAGACGGGUUUAACUCUCCCUUCUGGCUCGUCUCUUGGCCUUCUGCUUCCUGAGCACCAUGAGGUGAGCAGCUUCCCUUCGCCCAGGCUGCAGACCCUGCGAGGACUGAAACUUCCAGAGCAUGAACCAAAAUAAACCUCUUCUCCUUUAAAUUGCAGAUGUUGGGUAUUUUGUCCCAGCAACGAGGAAAGUGACUAAGACCUGUUAGCCAGCCUUGUGUCCAAGGCUCAUGUAGUACAAAGCUUCAGUGGGGAAACACUCAUUAUCCUUAAAAAAAAAUCAUUGUUCACACACUCUGAGUCUGUAGGGAGGAAUUCAUAAAGCUUGUGACAUUUGGCGUGGUAAUAAGCAAUAGGAAAUGUAAAGAAGUUCUGGAAUUCAGAUCUGAUGAUUCCCCAGAGGAACUGGACAGCAGUGACUCUGGACAAAGAGGUUUCUGUUCCUUGCUCCUGUGACAACUGUCCCUCCCCUAUGCCAGCCUGUUGGCGGGAGCCCUCAGCACUGACAUCACUGCUGGUGAUGCUCCCAGCAACUGGUGGGGGGCAUCAGCUCUCUGCAGGGGAGUCUUAAAGAUGUCUGACACAAGCAAGUUGUUGUGUUCAAGGAGAUGGGGUUUCUGUGCCUGGGGGAUUCAGUGUGGAUUACGGGCACCAUAACCCAGCUCGAGCUGCUCAAGUUGUGACCACCUGGAACAAUGGUCACACCCAUUGAUGUGCCAGGUACAUCAGUUUCAUCCCAGAAGAGCAACUCAUGGUGCCAGGCCUUCUGCUGGAUGACUUCAUGCCCAUGGCAAGGAGAAAAGAAAGCAGGUAAGGCAAUAAUGGUAAUGAUCCCAAUUUACAGGUGGAGACACUGAGGCUUGAUAUAUGCAGGUCACACUGCUGCCAGAUGACAGAGCUGAGUUCUAGCUCCAAAUCCUAUUAUCUAUCUGUUCUCCCAGUAUUUGCCAUAGGACAUGAGAGCUAUUAGAUCAUAUGCCAAAAAAGAACUUCAGAGACAAAGUGCUGUGGGAAAUGCUUCUCUCUCUCUGUCUCUCUCUGUCUCUCUGUCUCUCUGUCUCUCUGUCUGUCUCUCUCUCUCUCUCUCUCUCUCUUUCUCUCUGUGUCUCUCUUUCUCUCUGAAAGUCAUAAGAUUUAUUAGCACAAUAAAGGCUCUGAGAAGUCCUGCAUGGUAGAAGUGCAGUUGAUUUCACGUAACCUAGAGUUGCUUGAAUUUAUUUAACCAUGUAAUUCUUUUUCCUUCCCCUGGCAACUGUGACUCAUGCAAUGCACUGUGGCGAGGGUGGUGGCGGCGGUGUGUGUGUCACUGAACGAUGGCCCACCCCAGGACCGGGUUCCUUCACGAGGAGAGAGGCCCCUGGCCUGUGACCAUCUGUGGGAAGGGCGAGAAAGUCACUGGGCCCAGAGGGAAUUCAGAGCGAUCUUGGCUUCCACUGCCUCAGUUUGGACAGCUCCUUCAGCAGAAGCACACGCUGUGAGGGGACAGUUGUUGCCCUGGGACUCGCCCAGGACUGUGCCCAUUCGCGCCUGAGCAAGGAAACAUGACUGACAUCGCGACCCGCACAGCAAUGACCACAGCGCUGCAGCUGUGACCUUCAUGGUCAUUUCUGUUUGCUUUCCGUUUGAACUGGGUGACUUUGGGCACAGGUGCAGAGAUGGCUUCCUGUGGUUCCAGGGGAAAUGCUGGCCGAGGUACCCACCCCACCAGAUAUAGUACGUGGCACAAAGAACAGAGGUGACAGACACGGCCGGUCUGAUUGCUGCUAAAAGGUCAGUGUACGGGCCCCAGGAGAAAACCUGCUGGCUCAGGACCAGUGUGGACGCAGGGCAGGCAGAAGUGCCUUUCACGCCGUAGAGAAAAGCUUGUCUGAGAUUUAAGUCAACACGCAGAAGGAAACAGAGCCACAACUUAUGGGCAGAGGACGAGGAAAAGGCCGUCAGAGUCGCCUCACUGGAGUCCUGGAUCCAGCCUUGCCUGAAACACUCACUCUUCUCAAUGUUAGGAACCAGUGUGGCUGCCUUUUUGCUUAUGUUCAUUAAGACAGUGUGUCUGGUCAUUAAGAACCAAGAAGCUACUAAUGCAUUUAGAAAUUGCCGCACCAGAGUCAGGUAUGGUCAUGCAUGCUUGUAAUCUCAGCACUUGGGAGGCUGAAGCAGGAGGAUCGAUGUGAGUUUGAGUCUAUCCUGGGUUACACAGCGAGUUCAAGACCAGUCUGAACUGCUUGUGGAGACCCUGUCUCACCAAAAAAGAAAGAAAGAAAGAAAGAAAGAAAGAAGCAAUUGGUGCCCCAAAGUGAGGUGUUAUAAUGACAACCUAAACUGUAAUUAGCUGAGCUGAGGCAGGAUUUGGGGCUGUGGGGACCCCUCGGUUCCUGAGUAGGGAACUGGAAGUCCUGCUCAGGUAGGAGGAGGCGCCUUUUGUACACCGAGACUCAGAUUCUGUGCCUCCAGGAAUUUGACAGGAAAAGGCCAGGAUGCUGGCCUACGGCAGGAGCAUCUUACGGCCCUCAGUAACGUCCUGCAAGACAGAAGGUCCCAGUCAGCAGCUGGCGUGAGCCGACGAGGCUGCUGACCGAGUCCAUUCCUGCUGCGAGGCCCUGGCGGCGACCUUUGCUGCUUGGUCUCCCUGAGUCCGAGGGCAGGGUCCCUGUCACGGGGCCCACAAGGCCGGGAGGAUGGGCCAGAAUUCCCAAGCAGAGUCCAGGCAGAGGGCAGCACUGCCAGGUCCUCCGUCCAGAACCGCGAGAGGAAGCAGUUCGGGACAGACACGGCAAGGGAGUCACUCGCUCCACCCCCAAGACUUCUCCUGAGCCCCCACAUGCCAGACUCCGUUCCAGGCAGUAGGAACACGGUAGAGAAGAGGUGGAUGAAGCUCCUGUACUUGGGGUGCUAACCCUCAGGCAGGGGUGUCAACAAGUGGAAACAUAAAUAAAACAUUUAUACAUAGAGUGCAAAGCGCUGCAGGGAAAUUCAACCUGGCGAUAUGGGAAAGAGGGAUUUGGUUUUUUAACUACGAUUGAAAUGUGGACAAAACAUCUAAGCAGCAAAGACAAAAGUCCUGAGGUCAGAAUGAUACAAGUGGGCCAAUGUAGCUCUCCUCUCCCGGGCCCCUCUACCACGCCUUCCUGCCUUGAAGCUGGCUGAUUGUGGACUAAAUCGUGAACCAAAAUAAAUCUCUCCCUCAAGUUGUGGAUGCCAGGCAUUCAUGCUUCAGCCAGGAAAAAGACCUAAGAAAGUACUCACGACCAAUCACAGGUGACCCUGGCUCUGCCUUGCAGGAGCUGUGUGGCCUUGGACAAAUCACAUCACCAUUCUGAGCCUGUUUGAUCCUCUGAAAGAUGCAGGACAGGGGAUCCUCAUGACAACUCAGCACUGUGUGUCAGACGCGGUUUCUAGGACAAUCCCACCCUCAACAGGAGGCUGCUGAAGGUAUGUGGGGUUGACCGUCCAUCACCUCAUCUAAUCCUCCAAGCUGCCCCAGGAAGGAGGCUCCUUUUUCCUUUCUGGGUACAGAUACUGAAAGUGAGUCCCCAAGAGAUGAGACUGAGGUUCUUGUGGUAAAGUGACUUCUUGUGUGACUCAGCUGAUGACUGAGCCAGGACUUGUGCCACGGUUUGUGGAUGCAGAAGUGCAAGAUCUGGACACCGCUUGUCUAAUUUAAGUGACAGCUUCUCUGCAGGUGCCACACUAGACUCGAGAGCCUACAGAGGCCCUGGAUGAGGGGAACUAGGAGUUGGAUGUUUUGUUCCAGUAACAGGAAAGCUGACUACCUUCCCUUGUGGCAUCCUGAGAUGGUCCAGCAGGAUCCCCGAAGAGUGCAGACCUGACCCAGGCUGGAACCCAGACAGCAGUGUUUAACACCAGCUAGGAGAGCAGGCCUGCCCUUGGGCCAGAUGUGUGCAUUCCUUUCUCCAACUGUGGUUCUGAUCAUGAAACUGAGCUCCUCUGGGCCUCCGUAGCCUCAUUUGCAAAAUGAAGGCCGGUACCAGCUCUGCCUCUGCCUGGGCUGCGAUGAAGAGUGAGACACUGUAAAUAGGAACAUGCUGUACACAUGUGAGGGACUAGGUGACCCAGGGUCAGGACCACAGGCCUGAAGGCAGAAGAUCCGGUUCUGGUUCAGCUGUGUGACCUUGGGCGUGUUAUCGCCCCUCUCUGGGCUUCAGUAUCCUCGAUAGUAAAAGCAAGAUGAGAUCAUACAGCCUGUGAACACAUUGGUUUAUUCUUUUGGUGUCUUUUUAAAAUUAAAAUAUUUUUUAAGUCUGGA